UCUUUUGGGAGGGAACUGCUUUGCUAAAGUAACUGUAGUGCUCUGUUUGGGGACUGCUUUGAGUAUGAAGCAGAGCCAUCAUUUUUAACAAUUCAAUCUACUAUGGUCUAAAAUACACCAGAUCCCUUUUAGAAAGAGCAGAGAGGAACUAAAAAUUCUCUUAAAAUGGAGAUCACUUUGUUCCUCUGAAGAAAAGCUUACUUUAUAGCCAUACUGUAGAAAUUACUCUAGGGUUUGUUUAACUUUUUUUUCUUCUUCUUUGUUUCUUUCUUUAAGAGAAAGAGUCAUAAUUGCUAAGAUUUAUUCAGGAAACUUUUCUCUAGAGGAUUCUAAACAAUUUUGCAGUGUUUCUUAACCUCCUUAGCCACCCCCUUGGGGUCUCUCCAAAUUGCUGUCUCAUUAAAGAAGGAGUGCCCUACCCAGGCUUUUGGGGAGAACACAUUCAACUAUUUCUCAGAUGUAUCAUAUAUGUAGAGAUGGGCGGGAGUGGGGGAUCUUCAGGCAUUAGAUCAUCUGGUUUAUUCCAACACUGGGAAGUUGUUCCCAGUUGGAGAUCUCAAGAGUUGUGAAUGGCUGCUAACCUGAGGAACUUCACAUCUGUUACUUGAGCCCAGUUCUUGAGCAGCAAGACCUACUGAUGGAACAGGAGCUGCUCUGUGGACCUGAGGCCCAGCACAACACAAAGGACAAUGAGCUCAGCUCCUGGGCCCCUGGGGAUCAGUGCUUGCAGAAGGAGAACAGGCCUGCCAGAUUUGGACGAAGAAAGUGUAGGUUUUACAAAUGGAAAUGGCCUUGUGUGGAUACCGACCUGGGUCUGUGGACAUUAAAAGCUGUUUGACACGCACCGAUCUUUUACUGGUAAGAAUUUGGGAAUAGCUAUUUCUUUCCUGCUUCUUUGAUCUCCUCCCAAAUCCCGGGGUGGUAUAUUAUGGCUGCAGAGAACUGUAAAUGUUAGCAAGCAGAAAUUUGAAAGCCCUAAAAAAAUGUGGCUGCAAAGGCAAUUCAAACAUCAAGUAUCCCUCUCCUCAUCUGGACUCCGGUUUUAGAGCUACUGAGGGAAUUCUGACAAAUUUCAAACUGCACUGGAUUGCUGACCUGGCAUGAAU
rnacentral:lncRNA from 12 species